rnacentral:rRNA from 1 species
GACGAACGCUGGCGGCGUGCUUAACACAUGCAAGUCGAACGGAAAGGCCCUGCUUUUGUGGGGUGCUCGAGUGGCGAACGGGUGAGUAACACGUGAGUAACCUGCCCUUGACUUUGGGAUAACUUCAGGAAACUGGGGCUAAUACCGGAUAGGAGCUCCUGCUGCAUGGUGGGGGUUGGAAAGUUUCGGCGGUUGGGGAUGGACUCGCGGCUUAUCAGCUUGUUGGUGGGGUAGUGGCUUACCAAGGCUUUGACGGGUAGCCGGCCUGAGAGGGUGACCGGCCACAAGGGGACUGAGAUACGGACCAGACUCCUACGGGAGGCAGCAGUGGGGAAUAUUGCACAAUGGGCGGAAGCCUGAUGCAGCAACGCCGCGUGCGGGAUGACGGCCUUCGGGUUGUAAACCGCUUUCGCCUGUGACGAAGCGUGAGUGACGGUAAUGGGUAAAGAAGCACCGGCUAACUACGUG